GAGCAGGCUACCAGUGGGGAAGGAUCUCAUCUGGAGAUCCCUCCUUCUGGUGUUUUGUAGGUGAGCCCAGCAUAAGGAUCUUCUUGGAGGCUGGUGAAUGUGAACUUUUCUCUCUUCAGGGAUGCUCAUUUAUUCUGGAUCAGAACCAGAAACCAGAACGUGUAUUUGUCUAAGUGAGAAAGAGGAUGCACUUAUUUCAUUGAAGACAUCACUUGUCCUAAACACACAGAUAUAAGAAUCUUGAAAGGACUGCAGGAAGCUACCCUGCCAUGGCCCUGCACUGUCCUUAACAGACAAAUGCUCCUCCCCAGAAGAUUGUUGUAUGUUGUAUGUAAAGAUAUCAGUACUUCUGUUCUCCAGUCAUAGAUUGAAAGGCACACUUUCAGAUGCACACUUCAUUCCCUGUCAUUGGAUGAAAAUACUUCUGGAGCAACACUUUUUCUUUUAACAGGAAAGAUAUGUUGCUGUACAGCUCC